rnacentral:rRNA from 1 species
UACGUAGGGGGCAAGCGUUGUCCGGAAUCAUUGGGCGUAAAGAGCGUGUAGGCGGCUCGGUAAGUCCGCUGUGAAAAUCCAGGGCUCAACCCUGGAAUGCCGGUGGAAACUGUCGAGCUAGAGUCCGGAAGAGGCGAGUGGAAUUCCUGGUGUAGCGGUGAAAUGCGUAGAUAUCAAGUGGAACACCAGUGGCGAAGGCGAGUCUCUGGACAUUUCCUGACGCUGAGGCACGAAAGCCAGGGGAGCAAACGGG